AUUGAACGCUGGCGGCAUGCUUUACACAUGCAAGUCGAACGGUAACAGGCCGCAAGGUGCUGACGAGUGGCGAACGGGGGCGUAAUGCAGCGGAACGCGCCCAGACGUGGGGGUUAACUACGCGAAAGAGUAGCUAAUACCGCAUACGAUCUAUGGAUGAAAGCGGGGGACCGUAAGGCCUCGCGCGAUCGUAGCGGCCGAUGUCAGAUGAGGUAGUUGGUGGGGUAAAGGCUCACCAAGCCGACGAUCUGUAGCUGGUCUGAGAGGACGACCAGCCACACUGGGACUGAGACACGGCCCAGACUCCUACGGGAGGCAGCAGUGGGGAAUUUUGGACAAAGGGCGCAAGCCUGAUCCAGCAAUGCCGCGUGCAGGAAGAAGGCCUUCGGGUUGUAAACUGCUUUUGUACGGAAAGAAACGGCUCUGGUUAAUACCCGGGGCUAAUGACGGUACCGUAAGAAUAAGCACCGGCUAACUACGUG
rnacentral:rRNA from 1 species